rnacentral:tRNA from 1 species
GCGGGCGUAGCUCAAUGGCAGAGCUUCAGUCUUCCAAACUGACGGUGUGAGUUCGAUUCUCAUCGCCCGCUCCA